rnacentral:rRNA from 1 species
AAGAAAUAAUUUAUAUAAUAUUAUUUUAUAAAAAAAAUAUUUUUUAUAUUAGUAUAUUUUAGAAAAUAAGCAUUUUGUUAUAGUUAAUUAGUAUAGAGAUAGAUAAUAAGAAUUAUUAAGAAGGUUAUUUAUUUAAAAGAAGAGUUAAUUUUUUGUACCUUGUGUAUCAGGGUUUAUUAAAAUAAGUUAAUUAUUUAAUUUUCUCGAAUUAUAAAGAGCUAAUAUAUUAUAAAUUUAAUUGUGGCAUAAAUUUUUAAAAUAUUAUAUUAGAAAUGAAACGUUAUACGUUUUUUAAGAUAUCUAGUUUCUUAAGAAAUAAAUUUAAUUUAGUUUUAUUAUUGUAUUAUAUUAAUUUACUAGUAUUUUAUAUAAUAAAAAUAAUAUUUUAGGGGAUAAGCUUUAAAAUAAAAUAUUAAAAAUAUAAAUUUUUAAAUAAAAAUUAGUAGGAUUGGAAGUGUUAAUCUUUAGUUUGUUAUAAAUAAUUUUUGUUAGAAUAAGAUUUAUAUUAUUUUUAAAUAAUUUAUUAAGAUAAUAUAUGUAAUUUCAUAUUAUAUGUAAUAAUGAUAAAAUUAGUAUAUAUUUUAAUGUAUAAAUAAAUUAAAAAUUCAAGGUUAAAUUAAGGAACUCGGCAAAUGUACUUUUCGCCUGUUUAUUAAAAACAUGUCUUUUUGAUAAUAAUUUAAAGUCUAACCUGCCCAAUGAGGAUUUAAAUGGCCGCGGUAAUUUGACCGUGCAAAGGUAGCAUAAUCAUUAGUUUUUUAAUUGAAAGCUGGUAUGAACGGUUGGACGAGAGAGUAACUGUCUCAAUUUAAAUGUAUAUAGAAUUUUAUUUAUAAGUAAAAAAGCUUAUAUAAUUUUAAAAGACGAGAAGACCCUAUAGAGUUUUAUAGUUUAUUUUAUUAUUUAAUUUUAGUAUAUUUAUAUUUUUAAUAAUUUAAACUAUUUUGCUGGGGCAGCAGAGAAAUUUACUAAACUUUUUUUAUUGAAUUACAUUAAUUUAUGAUUGAAUGAUCCAUUUUUAAUGAUUAUAAGAUUAAAUUACCUUAGGGAUAACAGCGUAAUUUUUUUUUAGAGUUCUUAUCGAAAAAAGAGUUUGCGACCUCGAUGUUGGAUUAAAAUUAACUUUUGGUGUAGGGGCUAAAAGGUUAGGUCUGUUCGACCUUUAAAAUUUUACAUGAUCUGAGUUUAAACCGGCGUGAGCCAGGUUGGUUUCUAUCUUUAAAUAAAUUAAAUAUCUUAGUACGAAAGGAUCAGAUAUUUUUAAAAUUUAAUAUAAUUUGAAUAGGAAU